UACGGGGGGGGCAAGCGUUGUUCGGAAUUACUGGGCGUAAAGGGCUCGUAGGCGGCCAACUAAGUCGGAUGUGAAAUCCCCAGGCUUAACCUGGGAACUGCAUCCGAUACUGGUUGGCUUGAAUCCGGGAGAGGGAUGCGGAAUUCCUGGUGGAGCAGUGAAAUGCGUAGAUAUCAGGAGGAACACCAACGGCGAAGGCAGCUAGCUGGACGAGAUCCGACGCUCAGGCUCGAAAGUAUGGGGAGCAAAAAGG
rnacentral:rRNA from 1 species